rnacentral:rRNA from 1 species
CCAAUAGCGUAUGUUAAAGUUGUUGCAGUUAAAAAGCUCGUAGUUGAAUUUUAGGCCUGGCCGGGCGGUCCGUCUUUGGCGAGUACUGUCUUGUUGUCGGGUCUUCCUUCUGGUUAACCAGUAUGCCCUUUAUUGGGUGUGUUGGGGAGCCAGGACCCUUACCUUGAAAAAAUUAGAGUGUUUAAAGCGGGCUAUUGCUUGAAUAGCUUAGCAUUGAAUAAUAGAAUAGGACGUUGUGGUUCUAUUUUGUUGGUUUCCAUGACCACCGUAAUGAUUAAUAGGGAUAGUUGGGGGCAUUAGUAUUCAAUUGUCAGAGGUGAAAUUCUUGGAUUUAUUGAAGACUAACUAUUGCGAAAGCAUUUGCCAAGGAUGUUUUCAUUAAUCAAGAACGAAAGUUAGGGGAUCGAAGACGAUCAGAUACCGUCGUAGUCUUAACCAUAAACUAUGCCGACUAGGAAUCGGGCGUCGUUAUUUUAAUGACUCGCUCGGCGCCUUAUG